UCGACUGUGCUCGUACAGGAUCACUUCUAUAGUGAAUCCGACUAUCGAUAACAUCAGCGACAGGUGCCGUCAACAACCGUGAUGAUGAGUUUUACGCUCUGCCGCUUACGGAAUUAAGUUAUCAAAUGUCUAUCAUUUGUUUGACGUCGAUGAAGUUUGUAAACCUAUUAGGUUUCUACGGCAUUGAGCGAAUCUGAACGGCU
rnacentral:snoRNA from 1 species